rnacentral:rRNA from 1 species
GAUGAACGCUGGCGGCGUGCCUAACACAUGCAAGUCGAACGAAGCACUUUUUUACGAUCCCUUCGGGGUGACGAAUUUGUGACUGAGUGGCGGACGGGUGAGUAACGCGUGGGAAACCUGCCUUGUACCGGGGGAUAGCAGUUGGAAACGACUGAUAAUACCGCAUAAGCGCACAGUAUCACAUGAUACAGUGUGAAAAACUCCGGUGGUACAAGAUGGUCCCGCGUCUGAUUAGCUUGUUGGCGGGGUAAUGGCCCACCAAGGCGACGAUCAGUAGCCGACCUGAGAGGGUGACCGGCCACAUUGGGACUGAGACACGGCCCAAACUCCUACGGGAGGCAGCAGUGGGGAAUAUUGCACAAUGGGGGAAACCCUGAUGCAGCGACGCCGCGUGAGCGAAGAAGUAUUCGGUAUGUAAACUUC